UACGUAGGUGGCAAGCGUUGUCCGGAAUUAUUGGGCGUAAAGCGCGCGCAGGCGGCCUCUUAAGUCUGAUGUGAAAGCCCCCGGCUCAACCGGGGAGGGCCAUUGGAAACUGGGAGGCUUGAGUAUAGGAGAGAAGAGUGGAAUUCCACGUGUAGCGGUGAAAUGCGUAGAGAUGUGGAGGAACACCAGUGGCGAAGGCGGGUCUCUGGGCCGUAACUGACGCUGAGGAGCGAAAGCGUGGGGAGCGAACAGGAUUAGACUACCGUGUAGU
rnacentral:rRNA from 1 species